rnacentral:rRNA from 1 species
CUCGAGAGUGGCGGACGGGUGAGUAACACGUAGGUGAUCUGCCUCUGGAUGGGGGAUAGCCCAUGGAAACAUGGGGUAAUACCGCAUGAGGCCUGUACUGAUAAGCAGGUACGGGUGAAAGGCGCUAUUGUGCUGUCUGGAGAUGAGCCUGCGGUCCAUUAGUUAGUUGGCAGGGUAAGAGCCUACCAAGGCGACGAUGGGUAGCCGGCCUGAGAGGGUGAACGGCCACACUGGGACUGAGACACGGCCCAGACUCCUACGGGAGGCAGCAGCUAAGAAUCUUCCGCAAUGGGGGAAACCCUGACGGAGCGACGCCGCGUGGACGAUGAAGGCCUAGAGGUUGUAAAGUCCUUUUGCAGAUGAAGAAUAAGGCGAGGAGUGGAACGUCUUGCUGAUGACGUUAGUCUGCGAAUAAGCCCCGGCCAAUUACGUGCCAUCAGCCGCGGUAACACGUAAGGAGCGAGCGUUGUUCGGAAUUAUUGGGCGUAAAGGGCUUGUAGGCGGUUAUAUAAGUCUGGUGUUAAAGGCCUUGGCUCAACCGAGGUUUGGCGCUGGAAACUGUAAGACUAGAAUCUAGGAGGGGAAGCUGGAAUUCCUGGUGUAGGGGUGAAAUCUGUAGAUAUCUGGAAGAACACCGGUGGCGAAGGCGAGCUUCUAGCCAUGGACUGACGCUGAGGCGCGAAAGCGUGGGGAGCGAACAGGAUUAGAUACCCUGGUAGUCCACGCUGUAAACGAUGUGCACUAGGCGUUGGGUGUGUAAGACAUUCAGUGCCGUAGCUAACGCGGUAAGUGCACCGCCUGGGGAGUAUGCCCGCAAGGGUGAAACUCAAAGGAAUUGACGGGGGCCCGCACAAGCGGUGGAGCAUGUGGUUUAAUUCGACGAUACGCGAGAAACCUUACCAGUUUUUUGACAUAUUUAUGACCGCUUCAGAGAUGGAGUUUUCCCUUCGGGGACAUUUAUACAGGUGCUGCAUGGUUGUCGUCAGCUCGUGCCGUGAGGUGUUGGGUUAAGUCCCGCAACGAGCGCAACCCCUAUUGUCUGUUACCAUCAUUAAGUUGGGGGACUCAGGCAAGACUGCCGGUGACAAACCGGAGGAAGGUGGGGACGACGUCAAAUCAUCAUGGCCCUUAUAUCCUGGGCUACACACGUGCUACAAUGGCCAGUACAGAGUGACGCGAAGCAGCGAUGUGGAGCAAAACGCAGAAAGCUGGUCUCAGUUCGGAUUGGAGUCUGAAACUCGACUCCAUGAAGGUGGAAUCGCUAGUAAUCGCGCAUCAGCAUGGCGCGGUGAAUACGUUCCCGGGCCUUGUACACACCGCCCGUCACACCACCCGAGUUGGGGGUACCCG